rnacentral:rRNA from 1 species
UACAGAGGUCUCAAGCGUUGUUCGGAUUCAUUGGGCGUAAAGAGCGUGUAGGCGGCCAGGUAGGUCUGCUGUGAAAACUCGAGGCUCAACCUCGAGACGUCGGCGGAAACCAUCUGGCUAGAGUCCGGAAGAGGAGAGUGGAAUUCCUGGUGUAGCGGUGAAAUGCGCAGAUAUCAGGAGGAACACCGAUGGCGAAGGCAGGUCUCUGGGCCGAUACUGACGCUGAGGAGCGAAAGCGUGGGGAGCGAACAGG